rnacentral:rRNA from 1 species
ACCUGCCCUAUGAUUUUUAAAUGGCCGCGGUAUCCUGACCGUGCAAAGGUAGCAUAAUAGUUUGUCUUUUAAUUGAGGACUAGCAUGAAUGGUCAUACGAGAUAUUGACUUUCUUUAUUUUAUUAUAAUGAAAUUUAUUUUUUUGUGAAAAAGCUAAAAUAUAUUUAUUAGACGAUAAGACCCUAUAAAACUUUAUUGCACUUUAGAAAUAAAUUUUGUAGAUUUUAUUUUAUUUUNUUUUUAAAUUGAAAUUUUGUUGGGGAGACAGGUAAAUUUAAAUAGCUUUAUUAAUUUAUUUCAUUAAUUUAUGUAAGUUUUGAUCCGGUAUUUCCGAUUAGCAGAUUAAGUUACUUUAGGGAUAACAGCGUAAUCUUAUUGGAGAGUUCUUAUUGAUAAUAAGGUUUGCGACCUCGAUGUUGGAUUAAAAUUAGUGUAACAGUGCAGCAGCUUUACGACUAGGUCUGUUCGACCUUUAAAUUUUUACGUGAUCUGAGU